rnacentral:rRNA from 1 species
UACGAACUGUGCGAACGUUAUUCGGAAUCACUGGGCUUACAGGGUGCGUAGGCGGCUUGUUAAGGAGGGUGUGAAAGCCCCCGGCUCAACCGGGGAAUUGCGCCCUAAACUGGCGAGCUAGAGUGAGAUAGGGGUGUGUGGAACUUCCGGUGGAGCGGUGAAAUGUGUUGAUAUCGGAAGGAACGCCGGUGGCGAAAGCGACACACUGGAUCUUGUCUGACGCUGAGGCACGAAAGCCAGGGGAGCGAACGGG